AAACCCUAAUUCAAAACCCUAAUGGAUUGACCAAUUAGCAAUAGACAUCUAUAAGCUUAGCAAAUCACAUUCAUCCACUAAUUAUUUGCCAAAUAUCUUGUGUGGACCACUCUCCUAAAGUAGUAUUCCAAAACAAUUGGCUGAUAUGAUGGCUGGUUUAUUUGAUGGUUUAUCCAAACAAUUGGCUGGGUUUGACAUUUCAUCUAGACAAAUGAGAUCUGACACAUACAAGCUUCCAUUCAUUCAGUAAUGGUAACAAAUGGAACACAUGCAUUGAGGCCCAGAUAGGUAUAUAUUUCUCUCUGUCAUUUUUUUUAUCAAAUUCUUUUUCUCUCUUCUCUCUUCUCUCUCAUGCGCUCUCUCACUCUCUUCUCUCUUUUCUCUCUGAUUCCGGCAGCCACCCGGCCACCGCCACCGCCACCGGAAAACCCCAAAUCAAACCCAAUUCAACUCACCCAAAAACCUCUUUCACGCAAAACUUCUUCUUCCUCUCAGAUGGGCCGAAAAUCAUCAACCCCAACCCCCAAAUUUCAAUUCCUCAAAUUUUGUUCUUUGAAAUUGUCGAUGAAAUUGGGUAUUUGGAUGUCAAUAAACUCAGGAUCUCUACAGAGAAGGAAAUUCUAUCAUGGGCUCUGAAGGUUCACAAAUUCGGGUUUGGUUUGAGAUUUUGUUGAUUUCGAAAGUUGGAUCCUUUACUGCUCGAAAAAGUCAGACAAACAGUGCCGAAUAAUGAGCAAGCGCCGUUCAGGUGAAAAGCUUGUCUUCUAUGACCUGCAUAGUGGUGGCGUCAAGGUCCAGGUUAUGGCUGAUGCAACAUUCACUGCCAGUAUAGGGAAAAUACAAAUUAAGCGAAACUCUGACUUAGAUGAGGUUGAAUUUGGCAAAUUCCAUUCUAAUGUGAAGCAAGGCGACAUUGUUGGUGUCACUGGAUUUCCAGGGAAAAGUAAGAAAGGAGAGCUUAGUAUUUUCCCCAAGACUUUUAUAGUGUUGUCUCAUUGUCUGCACUCAAUGCCCAACCGAAAGCCUCCUGCUGCUGCUCGCAAAAAAGCUGCUGCUGCUGCUCGCAAUAAAGCAAAUUUGACGGUGAAGGGAAAUUCAUGGGUACAUAAAAGAUCCGUGUUCUACUAUGCAAUGGAAAGUGGGAAGGAGUUGUGGAAGAAGAAUGCUUAGGAGGGAGAAAUAAGAGUAAAGAAAGAAGAGUAUCAAAGGGUUUUAAGUGAGCCACGUAAUUCGCUGAUGAGUCGCUACUCAUAUGGUACUCUGACAAGGAAGAAAAACAAAUUAAGCUCAGUGUUGUUUCAAAGAUCAUUCCUGGGCAGCGAACUGUAAGUUUGCAACAUUUCAGCGGUAUCCUCGACCUGAAAAGGAGUAUCAGUCAUUUUCUCUAAUAUACAACAAUGAUAGGUCCUUGGAUUUGAUAUGCAAGGACAAAGAAGAAGCUGAGAUCUGGUUUGCCGGUCUGAGAGCAUUAGUUACCCGAGGUAACUAUCGCAAGUGGCGAUUCGAACCAAGACCUGAAAGUCUGUGUUCUGAUAGUCCAAAGUCUAGCAGAAGAUCCACUCCAUCAUUUCCACUAUUUGAUCCUGGAGAUAUUGACAGAGUUUCUUUUCAAAAUUCUUCGCCAAAUAAAUGGGUAAAGGCUUUCUCUGAAAUAAUUUCAUACACUGCACCUAGCAAGAGCUCCAGUCAAGCCGAAUCAAUUACCAAUUCCUCUAUUUCCUCCUCCGGGUCUGUGGAUAACUCGAGCAAUCGAAAUUCUGCAUCUGAGGCAAUUCGAAUCAGUUUAUCCAGUGCUGUAAGUUCAUCCAGCCAGGGUUCUUGUCAUGAAGAUAUUGAUGCUUUAGGAGAUGUUUUUAUUUGGGGAGAAGGUAUCAAUGAUGGAAUUCUUGGUGGUGGCCUGCAUAGGGUUGGAAACUUAUCUAUUUCAGAGAUGGAUGCAUUCCUUCCCAAGGCACUGGAAUCAAAAGUGGUUCUAGAUGUUCAUAGUAUUGGUUGUGGCUAUAAACAUGCUGCAUAUUAUAUCCACUUCGCUAUUUUGAUUAUUUUCAUUUACAUUUGUUGUAUUUUUCAGUGUAUGUGCAGUGAGUGUGCAAAAGCUUAUAGAGAUCAAGAUAAACAAUGGUGACGACCAAUGACAUCUUUUGCCUUGAAGCCAAGCUGAAUUAAGUGCAUAGUUUUAUUUUUUAUGUUUUAUUCACUUUAUGUAAAUUGCAGUCAAUAAUUUGUUUAUAGCUCAUAUGUAUUGUUAUUGUAAUCAAUAGAAAAAUAGAUUCUAUGUCGUUAUCCUGUUGCUGAAUGUUACUCCUGCUCAUUUAAAUUGUAUAGAUGGAAAGUUUGUUCUUUAUGUGGUCGUGACACAAUUCUUUGCGGUCACACCAUGAUUUGAAUUGUUUGGAGCUGUGUUGUCUUCUUUGAUUCACAUGUAUGAAUUCAUGGUUUAUUAUGUGAAUAUUGAUGGUAGUGUCAUGCUUUAUUUUGAUAGUAAUGUUGAAUGGUUAAGCUA